rnacentral:rRNA from 1 species
UACGAAGGGUGCAAGCGUUAAUCGGAAUUACUGGGCGUAAAGGGUGCGUAGGCGGUUCGUUAAGUCUGUCGUGAAAUCCCCGGGCUCAACCUGGGAAUGGCGAUGGAUACUGGCGAGCUAGAGUGUGUCAGAGGAUGGUGGAAUUCCCGGUGUAGCGGUAAAAUGCGUAGAGAUCGGGAGGAACAUCAGUGGCGAAGGCGGCCAUCUGGGACAACACUGACGCUGAAGCACGAAAGCGUGGGGAGCAAACAGG